rnacentral:rRNA from 1 species
GACGAACGCUGGCGGCGUGCUUAAUACAUGCAAGUCAACGACUUUUAAGAUAGCAAUAUUUUAAGGGGAGUGGCGCACGGUGAGUAACACGUAGGCAAUCUACCUUUAGGACUGACACAACUCGUCGAAAGACGGGCUAAUAUCAGAUAAUGCAAGCGGCUCCGCAUGGAGACAGUUGUUAAAGUACAAGCGCCUGAAGAUGAGCCUGCGGUCCAUUAGCUAGUUGGUAGAGUAACGGCCUACCAAGGCAACGAUGGAUAGCUGGUCUGAGAGGAUGAUCAGCCACACUGGAACUGAGACACGGUCCAGACUCCUACGGGAGCAGCAGUAAGGAAUAUUGCUCAAUGGCCGAAA